GACAGAGGUUGCAAGCGUUGUUCGGAAUCACUGGGCGUAAAGGGCGUGUAGGCGGUGGAGUAUGUCUGAUGUGAAAGCCCUCGGCUUAACCGGGGAAGUGCAUCGGAAACUGCUUCGCUGGAGUGCGAGAGAGGGUGGCGGAAUUCCCAGAGUAGAGGUGAAAUUCGUAGAUACUGGGAGGAACACCUGUGGCGAAGGCGGCCACCUGGCUCGUAACUGACGCUGAGACGCGAAAGCAUGGGUAGCAAACAGG
rnacentral:rRNA from 1 species